UACGUAGGGUGCAAGCGUUGUCCGGAAUUAUUGGGCGUAAAGAGCUCGUAGGCGGUCCGUCACGUCGGCUGACUGAAAACCUGGGGCUCAACCCCGGGCCUGCAGCCGAUACGGGCGGACUAGAAUUCGGUAGGGGAGACUGGAAUUCCUGGUGUAGCGGUGAAAUGCGCAGAUAUCAGGAGGAACACCGAUGGCGAAGGCAGGUCUCUGGGCCACUACUGACGCUGGAGAAAGCGAAAGCAUGGGGAGCAAACAGG
rnacentral:rRNA from 1 species